rnacentral:snRNA from 1 species
AUACUUACCUGGCAGGGGAGACACUAUGACCAAGAAGGUGGUUCACCCAGAGCGAGGCUCAGCCAUUGUACGGCGACAGAGGGGGACCACCAUAAUUGGCCAAACGUCACGUCACGUACUUUCCUUAC